CUUAACCGCAUCAGACUUUUCAGUCUUUGCCUUAUUUUGCACAAUAUUUACUUUAAAUCAGGAGCUCUCCAACUUAGCUUUUUGCUUCGGCACCUCCAACCUCAGGAGCACUUCAUCUCCACCGUCCUGUUUUCUCCCAGCGGAUGAGAAAGCGACACGGAGGCGGUUUUCUCCGCCAGCCAGAGCGGGACGCCUGCUUGACAGCACGUGGGAACCUAGGAACCUGGACCUGCCGCUGGGAAGCUUGGCACCACCCCACGCACCCCAAGACGUGCAUCUAGAACCUCAAACACAUGCAGAAGUGGGCUCCAUUACUUGGGAAAUUGCUUUGCCAUAGAAUUUUGAAUUUGGAAGGGGCCUUAGACAUCAUCUUUCUAAUCAGAAGUUAGUGCUAAACUCUCCUGUGUGCAGUUCUUCACAUACCGUCCUCGGGUUUUACAUGAGCAUUUCCAUGAACACGAAUCACUACACCACAGUCUGUUUUAUAAUGUUGACAGGCAGCUCUCACUGUUAGAAUAUUCUUUCAAUUUCCAUUUCCUCCAACAUUCUGGUGUAGCAGAAGAGAAGUGAGGGAGCAGAGAAUGCUAAGGUCUAGGUUGUCCAUAAACAUUAGCUCUUCUGCCUAUCCUUAUUACAAUAUUAUUAUUACUAAUUGUUGCUGCUAUCAUUACUGUUUUAAUUAUUGUGUAUUAUUGUUUUACAUUUGAUCAUUGUCCCUGUCUUCAUCCUACCUAUACCUUAGCUACAUGUUAAGGUUAAGUACUCGAGAUUUCAAGGCCACCAGCUGCAUCUCAAACCCCUCUAUCAUUACACACUUGGAACUGAGUUUAGUUAUGUUCUCAUUUGAUGUCAGUUGAGGUCAGCGUAUGUAUAUUGGGAGGUCACACUUGUGCCUAUUCUGCAAGCAGCAGUUGCAUGCAAGAGAGAAGGCUCUGGAGGCUGGCAGACAGAUCCUCCCGCGCUGAGCCUGGGGGACAGGCGCACCUACACAGAGCUGUUCAGAGGAAAAGCACUUUCUAAGAAACACCUCGAGGUGAAGAGACGAUGGCAAUAGAGGUUGGACAAGGAGGAAAUAGGUAAAAGGGAGGAAACUCCCUACACAGACCUUGUCUGAAUCGUGCUGACUCCAAACACACAUGGAAAUGUUAUUCAAACUAGAAGAGAGAGUGGCCAGUCAAAAGCCUGAUUUGCCAUCUUUUGCACAAUGAUGCUUUUCAUAACAAUGAUAUGUUGCAGACUUUAGCAUGACAUUAUGGUAAGAGUGGGGACUUUGUAAUCCUUCAGAUGUGGGUUCAAAUCCUGGUUCCUUUAUAUGAACUACAGGCAUAUCUCAUAACUUUUCUGAGCCUUAGUUAUCUCAUCUGAAAAAUGAGGAUGAUAGUGGCACCUAUCUUUAUGGCCCUGAGUGGAUUACAUUAGCUAGUGUACGAAACGUCUAGAACCUUCGUUAAGACAAUCAUUUGUUUCUUCUCACCCUCCAUACCUGCUCACCUGUUGCCCCUGAUACUGUCACCCCCCCUUCCUAGCCCAGCACUACCUUUCACAACUCAGCCCAGGUCCCACUCCUCCACGACCCUGCUCUUGCCCCCGAGGUCCCCUGGUCCCUCCAGCAGGCACAUGUGGACAACACACUUUAAUGUGGACCCGUGGGCACUAUUUGGUUGCCCUUUCUGUAUGCUAGAGAGGAAGGUGCUAUUAUGCCCCAUUUUGAAAUUAGGAAACUGAGGCUCAUAAAGUAUAUGUGGCUCCCUUCAAAGCCAUAGAGUCAGAAAGUGGUGGACUCAAACUCAGGUCACUUAUUCAAAUCGCUGCUUUCCUUAAAUUACAACAUGCUAUAUUUUGUAUUCUUGUAACAUCUCAAGGAUGUUACUCUUGUUUUCCUAUCAGUCUAAUUAGUAAUAGAUAGGUUUUUUUUAAGAUAUUAACCAUUUCUUAUACUUUUCUGUGUCUCUCCCUGCAUGGGUGGCAUAGUGUAGAAGAAUAACUAGAUAAUCAGAGUUCGGAUCCGGCCCCAUCACCCACAAGCCGUGCAAGCUAGGGCAGUCUACGCAUCAGCACAAGCCUCGCUUUCCUCGUCCGGAAAAACAAAAGAGAACAGCAGUCCUACCAUACAGAGUUGCUGCGAGGAUUAAAUUCAGUAAUCCUUGCUAAGCGUGUAAUACCUUUUAAUUCCCGUGAUCGCGGUGGACGCUGAGAUGAGCUGCCCUUCCAGGACAGACUGCCCAGCUGCGGGUGCGCGGUCAGGAGGUGGCCUCCAGGGGCUGCCUCGCCCUCGAGGAAGUCCCUCCCCAGUCCACGUCCCCAGGGUGGCCCAGCUCCAGCACACGGCCGACCGAGAAGGAGAAUAAAGGCCUGGCCACUGCUGCCCGGCGUGGGACAGCCCUGUUCUAAAGAAUGGGAAGUCCAUGGUUGUGGGGCUGUACCUGGUGAGGGCCUUCUUGCUGGUGGGAGCUCUCUACAGAGUCUGGAGGUGAUGCAAGGCAUCACAUAGUAAGGAAGGAACUGACUUCCUCUUGGAGAAGACUGGGUCAUGAUUAAGAAAUGAUAGCAGGGUGAUGAGAAAAAAAUUCACGCAUUCCUUGACAACACAGUGUUUGCAGGGAGAGGGCAGAAGGAGGCAUCUGGGAAGGAAGGACUUCCAUGCUGAUUCCCUGAGGAGCCAGGUGGCGGAGCACAGGGAAGAACAUCUCAGAGGUAAGAACCUGCAGACUGGGAGGUCCUUGCACGGACCUGGAAUAGCAAGCAGUUCUGUGUGGCUGAAAGAUGGAGGAAGAGAAGGUGAAUGUGGACUGCCGGGGAUGAGGAUGUGGGAAUGAGCAGGGGGUUCUGAAAGACCUCAUGUGCCGAUUCUGAAGCAAGGUUGAGCCACCAAAAGGUCCAUAGCCAGGCUGGGGGUGAUACAUUUGGAUUUACAGGAUGUGUGAUUGCAAAUGGUUACUCCAGCCAUAGUUUGGAGCAUGGAGUUUAGGGGGCAAGAGUGGACACCAGGAAGGUGCUGGGGCCAAAGCAGUGGAUGUGGGAAUGGAUAUAGAGAGAAAUGAAUGCUGUGAAGACCUGUGCACAAAUUAUUAAAUUAUAAAUGGGAAAACACUAGCAUUUUACCUCAUAGUUAGCUGUGAAACUUACAUAAGGUAAUGGAUUUGAAAUUGUCAUAUGAACAAUAAUGUGCUGUUAGUGAUUAUUGUCAACAAGGUGGGAAAUGUAGAAUUUGCUUUCAAGCAGCCAAAAUAAUAAAACAAAAACAGCUCAUCCAUGCCUUUGAAGUAUUUCCACCUCUCCUUUUAUUAGGAAAAUUCUGAUGGCAGGAUGGAUGAGGGUGGUCAGUGUUCCCCCAAGCAACCAGGUCGGCAGGCGACUCACCAGUCAGAGCUGUGUUCUCCCCUCCUCCGUUUCAACCUCAGGGUAAAAUGGCCUUUUAUUAAUAUUAAUAUACUUGCAUAAAGUGCUAAUUUACUCCAUCAUUUUCCUAAUUAGCUCUAUUGAAUUGUGAGACUCAUCUGCAUGAAUAAUGAAUCCCUCCAUGCUUUUUCCAGUGUUGGUCUCAUCUCUGCCAAGGGAAGUACAGGACGGGGGAAAACUCAUCUGUAAUUCUUUGAUGACUGUGAAGAAAGAUGGUCCCCUUUCUGAGAAGACGGUAAAGGCAUCAAGAAGGUGCAUUAAUUAAACCUGGACAGAAAUGGGGAGGGCUACUCUGCCUUUCUUUAGAAUAAAUAGAAUGAAGCUUUUGCUUUAGGCCCUACUGGUUCUGUCAUUUCCUCUUGGAAUGCACUAAUGAAGAUAGCCUCCUUCUGGUCCUGAUACGGUGUCACUCCAUCUGCUAGUGUUGCAGGAUAGAAGAUUAAAGGCGAGGAGGUGAGGUCAAGAAUAGUGGGUUUAUUUGAUCCAAGGAUAAAAGAAAUUCAUACUUCCUUUAUUCUCUGUACUAAUUAUCUCAAUAAGAUUAAAAAUGGAGCUAUUCAUAAAACUGACCAAAAUUAAUGUCAAGAAUAUUGAAAGAACUUCUAAUAAUAAGUCAAUGAGAAAAGCACAGCAAUACAGUAGAAAAUGGGCAAAAUAAAUGAGCAGGCAUAGCAGAGCAAACAUAUAGGAAAAAAUGUUCUAUGGAUUCUAAAGACUACAAUGACAUAGCAUUGUACACAGAAUCCAUUGGAAAAAGUUAAAAUGCCCAACACUACUAAGUAUUAGAGAAGCUGAAGCUAUAUUUCCUUAGGAUCUUUACACAUCGUGGGUGAGAGUAUAAAUAGACUGAUGUUUAGGGAAGCAUUUUGGCAUUGUUUUUUUUUUUUUUUUUGAGACAGG